GACGAACGCUGGCGGCGUGCUUAACACAUGCAAGUCGAACGGAAAGACCCUGCUUUUGUGGGGUGCUCGAGUGGCGAACGGGUGAGUAACACGUGAGUAGCCUGCCCUUGACUUUGGGAUAACUUCAGGAAACUGGGGCUAAUACCGGAUAGGAGCUCCUGCUGCAUGGUGGGGGUUGGAAAGUUUCGGCGGUUGGGGAUGGACUCGCGGCUUAUCAGCUUGUUGGUGGGGUAGUGGCUUACCAAGGCUUUGACGGGUAGCCGGCCUGAGAGGGUGACCGGCCACAUUGGGACUGAGAUACGGCCCAGACUCCUACGGGAGGCAGCAGUGGGGAAUAUUGCACAAUGGGCGGAAGCCUGAUGCAGCAACGCCGCGUGCGGGAUGACGGCCUUCGGGUUGUAAACCGCUUUCGCCUGUGACGAAGCGUGAGUGACGGUAAUGGGUAAAGAAGCACCGGCUAACUACGUG
rnacentral:rRNA from 1 species